AUCCUCUCCUCAAGUGUCCUGAAAGAACACAGCCCUGUCAACACCUGAUUUCUAACCUACAGAACUGUGAGGAACAAACGGGAAGGACUGUAAACAGGUGUGUCAGUGUUCAGCUGAGAAUGAGGAGUGUCACUCCAUCACAGGGAGAUGUACCUGUGUGCUGGGCUACCAUGGAAACCGCUAUCAUCUCCGUUGCCCAAAAGGCACUUAUGGUCCUUAUUGACAAAGGAAGUGUAAGUGACUGAACGGUGGCAGCUGCGACACCAUGAUUGGCACCUGUGACUGCCCUCCUGGCUUCAUCGGGGCUGACUGCAGUCAAACUUGUCCUGAAGAUCACUACGGGCAGGACUGUGUCCAGCGGCGUUCCUGUGGCUCAGGACAGUGUGACCCAGUGACUGGAGGGUGCCAGUGUCCCCCCCGGCCAAAUGGGAGCCAGGUGUCAGCAAGGAUGUCCCCCAACGAGGUAUGGCCCAAACUGUGAGCUAAAAUGUACCUGUAAAAAUGGUGGCCUUUGCAAUCCUGUGGAUGGAAGCUGUACCUGUGCCCUUGGCUGGACAGGAAAUUAUUGUGAAAAAGGUAAGUUGAUUACUACCUUCUUUCAUUCAAUAAAAAUCUACAGCAUAGUGCCAUUGGUUGAUAAAGUAUAGUACAGACCUGUGAAGGAGCUCUUUUCCAAUAAGUUUAUACAAGUUGUUUAUAAUUAUGAUUGCAUUUCCAAUAAAAAUAAUGUUAUGUUAAUACUGAUUGAUUUUUUUACCUUGUUACUGGAAUACCACAUGAAAACUCUUAAAACUCUUAAGUAAUUGAAAUAGUAUUCAUGCGAAAGAGCUCCUUUGAGACCUGAAUCCCACUCCCCACCCCCAGCAAGUUCUUGAGGCAGGCGGGAUGGAGGAUGCAGGGCCCUGGGCAGAGCCAGUUCACAUCAGGAGUGGACCCAGCUGCAAGAAGUGAAGUGCAGGAUUCUGGGAGCAGAGGUCUCCAAACUGCACCUCAUCGGGAGAAAUUUAAUCAUGCACCACCAUAAAUGUACUUUUAUUUAGAAGUGACAUUCAUGUGCUUCUCCACUAAUAUGUACAUUAUAAAGGUUUAAAUUGAUAAUGAAUGGAUAAAGAUAAAGAUCAAUAGUUGUUCUAAUGUUUUCUUUUGGAACCACAGUUGAUAAUUUUGUACAACACUGAAAAGCAUGCACCAUAGUUAGAGCACACUAUUGUGGGAGGUAGUGUUGUGUUUUUGCAGAAUAUUGAGAAAAAGCAGUGAGGCGGAGCAUGGGUGAGAACACUGUGCUUGGGGCCUAAACUUGGGGUGCCCUGAGUGAAACAUAACCCACAGUGAACUUUUACCUAGAUGGUUCCAACUUUGGGGGCUAUGGCUCUUUAGACCUGCGGCCCUAACAUACUCUCACAGUGAGUGUGAGUACCCACCAUCCUUUGCCGCUAAUUUGACCGUCGUGAAACUCGGCAGCGUGGCACAGGCGAAAGCACCUUGCACUGGGGGUGGAUAACCCUUAGGCUAAUCUCUGCUCUGCUGACCAUGCUCUGUGCCUUGGAGAGGUUCACAACCUCUCCCUGAGUUUCCCAUCUGAAAGUGAGUAUGGUGACACUUUGAAAUGACAGCCCUUCUAAAUCCAACAUUAAAGACCAUUUUUCACAGAAUUUUUAAAAACAUGGAUAUCCUCCCUAAUUCAUCGGAAACAGCUCCUAUCAAUUUUGUGAUAUUUGGGACUCCUAAAUCAGAGGAAUAGCAGUGUGUUUAGAAUAGAUGUGUUCAUGUUGUUUUUGUUUCUAAUUCAGAGUUGGAUAAUUCUAGCAUUUGGGGUUGUGGGAUAUUUUAACUUUUGAUUCUAUCAUUUAAACUCUUUAUUAUGGAACAUUUCAAACACAUACAAGAGUUACUGAGUCAUGGGGUAAGUACAAAUGUAGUUUUGCAACAUACUGACAGAUUUUCUUUCAUGUGGGAUUGUACCAUAUUGCAUCCUCAUAAACAACAUAUAGAAUGCCUGUUUCCUCACAAGGGAAUCAAAAGAGUAUAUUAUCAAAGUUUUGGUGAGAAAUGUUGUAUUAGUGGAGUUUUCAUUUUUAUUAUUAUGAAUAAAGUUUAGCAUCCUCUUUAAUGGGUAAGGACCUUUUUCUAUAAAUUGUCUAUUUGUACUGUAAAUAGUUGUAUUUUUUGUGUGCCCAUAGGAGGAGGUGAGCUCGGGGUCUUUUUUAUUCCACCAUCUUGACCACUACCAUCCCUGCAUGGCUUUUUUUUUUUCCAACAGGAUAAUUGGGUUUCUAACAUGACAGCUGACUUUUUUUUUUUUUUUUUUUUUUUUGGCUGUGUUGGGCUUUCAUUGCUCUGUGCAGGCUUUCUCUAGUUGCAGCGAGCGGGGGCUACUCUU